rnacentral:rRNA from 1 species
AACGAACGCUGGCGGCAUGCCUAACACAUGCAAGUCGAACGAGACCUUCGGGUCUAGUGGCGCACGGGUGCGUAACGCGUGGGAACCUGCCCUUAGGUUCGGAAUAACUCCCCGAAAGGGGUGCUAAUACCGGAUAAUGUCUUCGGACCAAAGAUUUAUCGCCUUUGGAUGGGCCCGCGUGGGAUUAGCUUGUUGGUAGGGUAAAAGCCUACCAAGGCGACGAUCCAUAGCUGGUAUGAGAGGAUGAUCAGCCACACUGGGACUGGGACACGGCCCAGACUACUACGGGAGGCAGCAGAGGGGAAUAUUGGACAAUGGGGGGAGGCAUGAUCCAGCAAGGACGGGUGAGUGAUGAAGGCCGUAGGGUUGUAAAGCUCUUUUACCCGGGAUGAUAAUGACAGUACCGGGAGAAUAAGCUCCGGCUAACUCCGUG